AGACCGAAUCUGCUGAAGGUGGGGCGGUGCUGGGGACCACCCUGUGUUUACUCUGUAUUUCGACCAGUGAACACAGCUGGUGGUAUCUCAGUUUCUUCCCAUCAAUGACAACCAAACACCAA
rnacentral:pre_miRNA from 15 species